GCACUGCCCAAAUAGCUAAGCGAAUGUAUUCAUUGCGUUUCUUUUUAAUAACAGCUAAUUUUCCUGUAAUUAACUCCAGAAGCACAAUACCGAAGGAAAAGACAUCAGACUUGUCAGUGAGCUUCCUUUUUUGGCCAUCUUUAACAUAAUAUUCAGGAGGGGCAUAACUGCACUUGAAAGAAAGUGUGUAUGAGAAUAAUUGUUUGACAAAUUUUCUCUUGGAAUGAAAAUUUAGCUAACACAUAAAGGUUUCUUCAAUCAUAUGCAAAGAAAAGAAUUGAAUUAAACUCUCACAUAAUACUAUAACUUUUGAUCUGAUUUCUGGGUUUUUAUUUUAAAUGAUUUUUUUAAAAUUAAAAGAAUUAAAUUCUUUUAAUUAUUAGGUUUUCAAACAUAAAAGAAAAGGAAAAAAAAUCAAUUGAAUUAAACUUUGCAUAUUUGUAAUUUCUAAAUAAGCUGAAGAUGAAUCUUACGCAGGAGUUCCCUU
rnacentral:misc_RNA from 1 species